rnacentral:rRNA from 1 species
AUUGAACGCUGGCGGCAUGCUUUACACAUGCAAGUCGAACGGCAGCACGGGGGCAACCCUGGUGGCGAGUGGCGAACGGGUGAGUAAUGCAUCGGAACGUACCCAGUCGUGGGGGAUAACGCAGCGAAAGUUGUGCUAAUACCGCAUACGACCUGAGGGUGAAAGCGGGGGACCGUAAGGCCUCGCGCGAUUGGAGCGGCCGAUGUCUGAUUAGCUAGUUGGUGGGGUAAAGGGCCACCAAGGCGACGAUCAGUAGCGGGUCUGAGAGGAUGAUCCGCCACACUGGGACUGAGACACGGCCCAGACUCCUACGGGAGGCAGCAGUGGGGAAUUUUGGACAAUGGGGGCAACCCUGAUCCAGCCAUGCCGCGUGC